AUUGAACGCUAGCGGGAUGCUUUACACAUGCAAGUCGAACGGAGUGGCGGACGGGUGAGUAAUAUAUCGGAACGUGCCCAGUAGCGGGGGAUAACUACUCGAAAGAGUGGCUAAUACCGCAUACCUUUCGAACGGCCGCUAUCAGGUUAGCUAGUUGGUGGGGUAAAGGUUCACAAAGGCAACGAUCCGUAGCUGGUUUGAGAGGAUGACCAGCCACACUGGGACUGAGACACGGCCCAGACUCCUACGGGAGGCAGCAGUGGGGAAUUUUGGACAAUGGGGGAAACCCUGAUGCAGCCAUCCCGCGUGUAUGAUGAAGGCCUUCGGGUUGUAAAGUACUGUUGGCAGAGAAGCGGUAUCUGCAGAAUAAGCACCGGCUAACUACGUGCCAGCCGCCGCGGUAAUUC
rnacentral:rRNA from 1 species